AUAAAAGCUACCCCGGGGAUAACAGGCUUAUCUCCCCCAAGAGUUCACAUCGACGGGGAGGUUUGGCACCUCGAUGUCGGCUCAUCGCAUCCUGGGGCUGUAGUCGGUCCCAAGGGUUGGGCUGUUCGCCCAUUAAAGCGGUACGCGAGCUGGGUUCAGAACGUCGUGAGACAGUUCGGUCCCUAUCCGUCGUGGGCGUAGGAAAUUUGAGAGGAGCUGUCCUUAGUACGAGAGGACCGGGAUGGACAUACCUCUGGUGUACCAGUUGUCGUGCCAACGGCAUAGCUGGGUAGCUAUGUAUGGACGGGAUAAGUGCUGAAAGCAUCUAAGCAUGAAGCCCCCCUCAAGAUGAGAUUUCCCAACUUCGGUUAUAAGAUCCCUCGAAGAUGACGAGGUUAAUAGGUUCGAGGUGGAAGCGUGGUGACACGUGGAGCUGACGAAUACUAAUCGAUCGAAGACUUAAUCAA
rnacentral:rRNA from 1 species